GUUAGACUACUUUAUGUUUACAGUCAGGCAAAAAAAUGUCAAUUUGACAUGAAUGUACAAAAGCCCUAGUUAACGAUAAGACCUGUUAAAAAAGAAAGAAGCAUUGGGAGAACACAUCUGCUGCAUUACUUUUUAAAGAGUCUUCGAUCACAACCAGGCUGCUGUUCUGCUGCCGGCAGAACUCGACGCUCUCGUUCCACCGACAGUCUUCUUGGAGUCCGACCGAGAAAAAGUAGCAGUGACUCCUCCACCACAGCCAGCCAUCAGGACACAGACGGCAUCUGGGGUCUCCAGACGGCAAAGACAAAAACAGAACCGCUGAUGCAACUGUAGAAUACGCGGCAGUAGAGCCACCAAAAGCAUGCGGUGAAUGCUCCAUCAUGACAGAUCACCUGUUGAUCUUUGAUGCUUUUGUUUCUGCAUGAAGAUUAUAAAUACCACGGUUUUCACAGGCUUGAACCAGAUAAUUAUUUGCAAACUCACCCUGAGUGGCAGAAUGCAGCAUCAUUUUCAGAUCAUGGCACUCUCUUUGGCACUGCUGCAGAUGUUCCACCUGUUUUUUGUGAAAGGUUGGAUCCUCUUUUGGUGCUGCUCCCCAGUUGGCUGUCACAUUGAUAAACUUUAGACAACCUAAA